rnacentral:lncRNA from 1 species
CUUCCUUCCAUUUGUCUGUGUUUCAACGUGGUUGAGUGGUCGACCUUUGCCCAUCUCCAGUGGUCUACCGCUCCCUUCCCUCCACCUGACCCCACUCACAUAGUCUUGCUAUUUCUUGUUUUCAUCUAUGUCUGAAUCAAGGUCUCUGGUGACCACUAGCUGGUGUUCCCUUAUGAACCAUCAAUCAAAAUGGAAUGACAUGGUUAAAUCCUAGCUGCAAGAGAGUCAAGA